rnacentral:rRNA from 1 species
AGAGUUUGAUCCUGGCUUAGGAUGAACGCUAGCUACAGGCUUAACACAUGCAAGUCGAGGGGCAGCAUGAUCUUAGCUUGCUAAGAUGAUGGCGACCGGCGCACGGGUGAGUAACGCGUAUCCAACCUUCCCUGUACUAGGGGAUAGCCCGGCGAAAGUCGGAUUAAUACCCUAUGUUUUCCGAAGCGAGCAUUUAAUUUGGAACAAAGGUUUACCGGUAUAGGAUGGGGAUGCGUCUGAUUAGAUAGUAGGCGGGGUAACGGCCCACCUAGUCGACGAUCAGUAGGGGUUCUGAGAGGAAGGUCCCCCACAUUGGAACUGAGACACGGUCCAAACUCCUACGGGAGGCAGCAGUGAGGAAUAUUGGUCAAUGGGCGAGAGCCUGAACCAGCCAAGUAGCGUGCAGGAUGACGGCCCUAUGGGUUGUAAACUGCUUUUAUAUAGGGAUAAAGUGAGGGACGUGUCCCUUAUUGUAGGUACUAUAUGAAUAAGGACCGGCUAAUUCCGUGCCAGCAGCAGC